GCAUGGUCUUAGCUUGCUAAGGCCGAUGGCGACCGGCGCACGGGUGAGUAACACGUAUCCAACCUGCCGUCUACUCUUGGACAGCCUUCUGAAAGGAAGAUUAAUACAAGAUGGCAUCAUGAGUCCGCAUGUUCACAUGAUUAAAGGUAUUCCGGUAGACGAUGGGGAUGCGUUCCAUUAGAUAGUAGGCGGGGUAACGGCCCACCUAGUCUUCGAUGGAUAGGGGUUCUGAGAGGAAGGUCCCCCACAUUGGAACUGAGACACGGUCCAAACUCCUACGGGAGGCAGCAGUGAGGAAUAUUGGUCAAUGGGCGAGAGCCUGAACCAGCCAAGUAGCGUGAAGGAUGACUGCCCUAUGGGUUGUAAACUUCUUUUAUAAAGGAAUAAAGUCGGGUAUGGAUACCCGUUUGCAUGUACUUUAUGAAUAAGGAUCGGCUAACUCCGUGCCAGCAGCCGCGGUAAUACGGAGGAUCCGAGCGUUAUCCGGAUUUAUUGGGUUUAAAGGGAGCGUAGAUGGAUGUUUAAGUCAGUUGUGAAAGUUUGCGGCUCAACCGUAAAAUUGCAGUUGAUACUGGCAGUCUUGAGUGCAGUAGAGGUGGGCGGAAUUCGUGGUGUAGCGGUGAAAUGCUUAGAUAUCACGAAGAACUCCGAUUGCGAAGGCAGCUCACUGGAGUGUAACUGACGCUGAUGCUCGAAAGUGUGGGUAUCAAACAGG
rnacentral:rRNA from 1 species